AUUUGGAUGGCCCCAUUUGUGCCUUAAUGGUAUGCUGCGCUUGGUAAAACCUGGUCAAGGUAUUUGCUAUAUAAAGAUGUAAAUAGGAAUCCUUUGUAAUGAUAUGCAGCACAAGAUUUGCCCUUGGGCUUCAUUGACAUGAUUCUGGCAAGAGAGCAAUUCAUGGAGCACUAAACAAGCUGCUGAAGCCUGUAAACUUUACAAUGGAUGGGAGACUGUCAUCCUCGUGUAAUCUGUGCACUCAUGGUACCAGAAAACUUAGAUUGUAGAACUUAUUUGGUAAAUAACUUGACAUUCGGUCCUCCUUUAAUA
rnacentral:misc_RNA from 1 species